AGGGAAAAGGCAAAAUCAGAGGAAGAGAGUGAGAACAAAAGAUUGCCCCCACAACAAUCGGGAUGUGCACCCAUACCGUGGGAUAAUACGGACAAGCAGAGAAAGGGGAAGACCGAACUCCUGUACGACUGGAUGCCCUGCGAUCUAUGGUAUGGUACCCUUGCUUGGACAGUUCACCGGCUACGUUCACACUGCAG